rnacentral:rRNA from 1 species
GACCUCGGAUCAGGUAGGGAUACCCGCUGAACUUUUCCAUAUGUAUAAGCGGA